rnacentral:rRNA from 1 species
CACGUAGGGCGCAAGCGUUGUCCGGAAUUAUUGGGCGUAAAGAGCUCGUAGGCGGUCUGUUGCGUCUGCUGUGAAAACCCGGGGCUUAACCCCUGGCUUGCAGUGGAUACGGACAGACUAGAGGUAGGUAGGGGAGAAUGGAAUUCCCGGUGUAGCGGUGAAAUGCGCAGAUAUCGGGAGGAACACCGGUGGCGAAGGCGGUUCUCUGGGCCGUUACCUGACGCUGAGGAGCGAAAGCGUGGGGAGCGAACAGG